CAGCACUUAUCACAUGCAAUGCG
rnacentral:miRNA from 1 species